AACACUUCAUGACUGAGAUCAGAACAGAACAGAAUCUUCAUCAUCACACAAACCAAAAGAACAACAAUGACUUUCAUCAUCAUCUUCAUCUGGACACUGACUUCCUACAUUCAGGAGAGCUGUGGAGAAGUGACAGUGACUCAAACACCACAAAUAACAUCCAUUACACAAGGAGGAACCGUUGAAAUCAGCUGUAAAACAAGUCAGCCAAUUUCUGGCUGUAAUGAUUGUGUUUCAUGGUAUCUUCAGAAACCCGGAGAAGCUCCUAAACUCCUCAUUUAUUACAUCAGGAGACUUCAGUCAGGAACUCCAUCAAGAUUCAGUGGCAGUGGAUCAGACUAUGGAAGUGAUUUCACUUUGACCAUCAGUGGAGUUCAGACUGAAGAUUCAGGAGAUUAUUACUGUCAGAGUUAUCACAGUGGUUAUGUGUUGACACAGUGAUAAAGAGUGAUACAAAAACCUCUGUCAGUCACACUCACAGUGACUGAACUCAUACACCUGACAGAUACUGCAGAUGAUCAAACAACACAAUAACACACAACACUGAUCACACAAAUAACACAACAUCACCUUAUGAUCAACAGAAAUCAUGCUAAGGUUUAUACAGGUAUGUAUUUAUGAUAAGAUAAACA